CCAGGGCUGGAUGCAGUGUGUGGCAGUGAGUGUUUGUGUUGUGAGGGAGAGACUCGCAACCAUGAGGUGAGAGGAGGGAGGCCUCCGGCCCCCUAUGCCGGGGGGCCAGGCCCUCUUCCCUUGCCGGCUAGGCUGAGGGGAGCUUGGUACAGUUUAUAACUGGACCGAGUACCCGUGGCCAAGGCUAGGGGGCUCUUUUUUUCUUCUCCCAAUGCCCGGGGAGGCGGUGGUGUGGACAUAAGGCUCAGUACUGGAGCCAAGCCAGGAGACGGGCCAAAGGGUUCGGAGGUGCCCUAUGUGGGUUUGGACGAGGGCAGCCAAAAACUGAAAGCUGCAGCAGCUAAGGAAGAGAGGAAGCCAAACUGGCAGGCUUUUUCUGGUGCUGCCUCACCAGGACUCUAAAUGAUCUUUUAUUUUAUAUCACCUUUCAAAGGUCAAUGCUCAGUCUAUUUCCUCUGUCUGUGCUGUUCCAGAUUUUGCAGACCUCUAUCAUAUCCAUAAACAUACACACUCUUUUCCAAAAGGUUUAUCUGAUGUCGGGGUUUAGAAAUGUAACAAGAACUGUUAGUGUUUACAAUAUUAGGAAUAAAUAGGUGUUCUUGCAAAACUUGUGGUGUGGUUGCAUUUGAUGCUGAGUAGUGACAAUUUACUGGUUGUUCAGUUGUUUAGUUAUAGAAAAGUGCAAUUUGCCCAGAAACAAAGGAACCAUACAAUGGGGGACACACUGUAGGCGUGUUGGGAAGGCUGUAACCCCAGAGUAUCUCAGCCAAUGGGGAAAUGGGGAGGGACCUGCAUUUCAGGCAAGGAGAUAAAAGAGGCUGUGACCUCUAUCAAGUUGAGAGACUUCACUGGGGAUUGUCUAGUGAACUCUCCCUUUUAUUCGAAUAAAAGUUUUAGUUAGCUCCUCUGUCUUUUGGACAUUUUUGAGGCUCAUAAUAACAGAAACAUAUAUAUAUAUAUAUAUGUCGCUGUUGAGACGGCCAAAGCAACACAGAAACAGUCUUUUUCCAAAAAUAGGACAGGAGAGGGAUAGGAUCUUUAUUGCAACAGAUCUCUGACAUUUGUACUCCCCAGUGUAACAUACAUGUUGCAUUAUUAUUGGUGUUUCUUCAUAAACAUACCUCAGGAUUGGCUGCCCUAUAGCAAACUCACAAUGACUCAGCAUUUGCAGACUCACAGUGACUUGCUCUAGCAAGCUCAUGGUUACUUUGCAGAAAGUUCAGGAUAUCAGCUUUUACAGUCCUGUCUUCCUUCCAACAGACCUGCUGUCAACCCUGACAUAUAUAUUUUUCAGAACAACAACAUAGAAACUACAGAUAGCUGAGCCAAGUGAUUUAAAGAAACAAUGAAGGGGGGAACUGAGGCAGUUAGCCAGGCAACAUCCAGUUACUUUUUAACCAGGUGCACUGACUUGAAGAAGUUCACAAGGUGGUCACUUAGAACUUUGGGGGGCUUCAAAGACCACCGAAGACCACUGAUGAAGACCCUCAAAGACCUUAUAAGGAUAUGCAUGUAAUGUUAAUAAGUGUUGGGAAAUUCCGUGAAUACGUAACAGGAAUGCAGGGAAUGAAAAAUGAAUAAUCAUGUAAUGCUGACAUAUAAGCUGUAGUGAAGAUACCUCAGGGUGAAUUUUGGCAAAAUGAUAACCAGUGCACCCAGUGCUGAUUAAAGAAUGCCUUAUUUCUAAAACUUA